UACAGAGGAGCCAAGCGUUGUCCGGAUUGACUGGGCGUAAAGCGCACGCAGGCGGACGCGCGCGUGGGGUGUGAAAUCUGGCCGCUUAACGGCCAGGCGCCAUCCCAUACGGCGGGUCUGGAGUGAUGCAGAGGGCGGUGGAAUUGCCGGUGUAGUGGUGAAAUGCGUAGAGAUCGGCAGGAACACCCAGGGGGAACCCAGCCGCCUGGGCAUCGACUGACGCUGAGGUGCGAGAGCGUGGGGAGCGAACCGG
rnacentral:rRNA from 1 species